GACGAACGCUGGCGGCGUGCCUAACACAUGCAAGUCGAACGGAAAGGCCCUGCUUUUGUUGGUUGCUCGAGUGGCGAACGGGUGAGUAACACGUGAGUAACCUGCCCUUGACUUUGGGAUAACUUCAGGAAACUGGGGCUAAUACCGGAUAGGAGCUCCUGCUGCACGGUGUGGGUUGGAAAGUUUCGGCGGUUGGGGAUGGACUCGCGGCUUAUCAGCUUGUUGGUGGGGUAGUGGCUUACCAAGGCUUUGACGGGUAGCCGGCCUGAGAGGGUGACCGGCCACAUUGGGACUGAGAUACGGACCAGAAGCCUACGGGAGGCAGCAGUGGGGAAUAUUGCACAAUGGGCGGAAGCCAGAUGCAGCAACGCUGCGUGCGGGAUGCUGGCCUUCGGGUUGUAAACCGCUUUCGCCUGUGACGAAGCGUGAGUGACGGUAAUGGGUAAAGAAGCACCGGCUAACUACGUG
rnacentral:rRNA from 1 species